CCUAAUGCUCCAACAGUCUCUCUUGGGGUUCCUUGCAUUUUAGGCCACCAGCCUCAUGACAGUCCCAUCUCCCCUUCACUGCCCAGAGGGUUUAUGACAGAACAGCAUUGUCCCUAGCAACCUCUACCUCCUGUUGCUUAGCAACUGCAGUUCCGAGUCCCCUACACAAAGGCUGAGAGGCCCCUUCCACACCGAGAGUCAGUAAAAGGGUUAAUGGGCUUGGGGGGCCUCCCUCCAGGGUCCCCGACUCCCUUAACUAGCUCUGGCCUGACCAGCAGCUCCAGGCCAGGGCAGGGGUGGGAGCAACAGGUAGGGGUAGGAAGAAAGCACCAGAGGUUACUGCUCACGGCCCUCGCAGGUCAAGGAACAACACAGAGACGGAAGGAAAACCCUCAGGUAGACGAAACUGCUAACCAUCCAGUGGCUUGUCUGCCUGAGGGACCUCAAGACAGGCCAGAAGCUGGAGAGAAGGAAGAGCUUCACACCUCCCUAGCCGAGUCCCAGGAAAAGCCCUUCUCCCACCCCUCCUCCCUCUCCCCUGUGACUUGCUCUCUGUCGGGCAACAUUCUGAAUCCGCCCAGCCUCAGCCGGCGGCCCCAAACCCCUCCCAGGCUGGGCAGGCAGAGGCAGGGAGGGAGGGCUGGCGGGCACAGCCGUUUUUUCCUCUACUUGUGCUAAUUGGGGCCCGCUUUCAUCCAUUCCCAUGGGCUUGUGUAGACACAUACACUCCCACCAGGCUGUUUGCCAAUAACUGCCCCCAGUUUGAAAAUAAACUCCCCCCUUCUGCAGCACCUGCCUGCACCUCCUCCCUUCUCUGCUCAGCCCACCCCAUGGCAAGAGCUCAGCCAAUCCCAGAGUUUUCCUCAGGAUUCGAACUAAAGAGGGAAAAGGGUGCCAGGCCCUGAACGAGAUGCUUCAUCACUCCUAUGUCACCUGCGCAGAAACCCUGCAAAGUAAAUAUAUAUACCUCCAUUUGAUUAAGGAGAAAACCGAGGCUCAUCAAGAUGCGGUAACUUGCCCAAGCUUUCCCGUCUAGGACAUGGCAGAGCUGGAUUCAGACCCAACCCUGACUUCAUCAAACCCACUCCCUUGGAGACUUCACCUACAAGCAAAAAGAUAUCUUGUAUAUCUUCGCCUCAGAGACUUGGACUUCCUAGCUUGGCGAUGCCGCAGGGAUGCAGGGUCUUCUUAAGUGAUCAUUACCUGUCCAGGUCCUUCCCAUUCAGUCUGCUCCCACCCCAGUCUGAGCUACUAAGAUCCAACUAAGUGUACCAGAUACGGAGUUUACGGAAUCUCCACUGCAGCUUCAGGCGAGAGCUCCCGGAUGGAUCUGAGCUCUCCUUGGCACCAGAAUCCCUGGCUCAUCAUCCCUCCAGGGGAGGGUCAUCCAGUCCCUAUCUGAUCACACCUGCAUCAGUGCUCCUGUGGUACCACUCAUCUUUAGUAAGCUCUGACAGACGGAAAGUUCUUCCCGGUGUAAACAUCUGAGUGUUUUUGCCACAGACAGAGAAGAAAGUGAAGAGGCAGGAGCAGUGGGCUGGUCUCUCCCGACAUCCCUCCAGCAAAUACUUCCAUUGUAGCAGCUUUCAACAUCCCUUUACAAUGUAAUAGACUGACCUAACAGUUGGUAAAAUUGCAGUGAAAACAUGUGAGUGGACAGAGCUUGGAAGCAAGGCUAGAAAAGAUGAUCAAAGAGCAAAGCCUUCUUGGCUCCUCGCCAGCCAGCAGGAAAGAUAAGAUUGCUCACGUUGGAUCAGCCA